GGUUCAAUGGUCUAGUGGUUAUGAUUUCUGUCUCACAAGGAUGUAAUACACAGAAGGUCCCCAGUUCGAUCCUGGGUUGAACCA